rnacentral:rRNA from 1 species
AUGUGUGCUCCAAAAGAUCAAGGACGUAUGGCCUUCCAAGAUAUACAUUGUUUCAGCCUGGCAUUAUUAGCUAAACAAGCGUGACGUGUCCUUGAUAAUCCCGAUUCUUUAUGUGCCACUAUCUUGAGAUAUAAGUAUUUCCCUAUCGGCGAUAUGGAUGCAAGUUUAAGGAAGGGAUCCUCUUUUACUUGGCAAAGCAUUAUGGCGUGA